GAUGAACGCUGGCGGCGUGCCUAAUACAUGCAAGUCGAGCGAAAAGACGAGGAUCUUGCUCCUCGGACGUUAGCGGCGGGCGGGUGAGUAACAAGUGGGUAACCAACCUAUCUGACUGGGAGAACUACGGGAAACCGGAGCUGAUAAAGGAUAAUAUAAUGAACCGCAGGGUUCCAUAGUGCAAGGAGGUUUUGUUGGCAGUUAUAGAGGGAUCCGCGCCGCAUUCGCUAGUUGGUAGGGUAACGGCUUACAAAGGCAACGCGGCGGGGCCGACCGGAGAGGGUGGUCGGCCACACUGGAACUGAACUGCGGUCCAGACCCCUACGGGACGGAACAGUGGGGUAUGUUCCGCAAUGCGCGGAAGCCUGACGGGACCACGCCGCGUCGGGGAUGAAGGUCUUCUGUUCGUAAUACUCUGUUAUUUUGGAAGAACAAAUGUGUAAGUAACGAUGCACUUCUUGACGGUACCGAAUCAGAAAGCCACGGCUAACUACGUG
rnacentral:rRNA from 1 species